AUGGAGGACACCGAGGUGUCGUCUCAAAGGACAUCUCCUGGUCGAGGAGGAGUGGACGCGACCGUCCACAAGGCACCCGAGGAUAACACCUCUGGCGCUGUAGAGCGGCGCACGGCGACCCCCAUGACCACCGAGGGUGGGGGGCCUCAACAGUUAGGGCCCUCGCCAAACACCAUCAUGCAGAUCAAUACGGCUCCGGGUUCAGACCAACAUCCCCCUUCAAUAGAGUGGGGAGGAGCAGCAGCUCUGUCGGCGUCCUCUGUCAAUCCGAAGACCGUUGAUACUCUGCAGGAAGAACUGCAACGUGCUUACAUCAUGGAGAAACACCGCACCCUGAUGAUGCGGUUAUGGAGAAGGUUCGUUCCAUGA
rnacentral:rRNA from 1 species